GACGAACGCUGGCGGCGUGCCUAACACAUGCAAGUCGAACGGACAGGCCCUGAUUUUGGGCGGUGGUCGGGUGGAGACCGGGGGAGUAACACGUGAGUACCGUGUACCUGACUUAGGGAUAACUUCAGGAAAAAGGGGCUCAUACAGGGUAGGAGCUAUUGCUGCAUGGUGGGGGUUGGACAGAUUCGGCGGUUGGGGAUGGAAUGGCGGCUUAUCUGCUUGUUGGGGGGGUAGGGGGUGAGCAAGGCUAUGAGGGGUAGGCGGCCUGGGAGGGGGACCGGCCACAUUGGGCCUGGGAUGCGGCCCAGACUCCAACCGGACGCAGCGGUGGGGAAUAUUACACAAUGGGCGGAAGCCUGAUGCGACAGCGCCGCGUGCGGGAAAACGUCCUUCUGGUUGUAAACCACUGUCGCCUGAGACGAGGCGUUAUUGACGGUAAUGGGUAAAGAAGCACCGGCUAACUACGUG
rnacentral:rRNA from 1 species